rnacentral:rRNA from 1 species
UACAGAGGGUGCAAGCGUUAAUCGGAAUCACUGGGCGUAAAGGGUGCGUAGGUGGAUAGUUAAGUUUCAUGUGAAAUCCCCGGGCUUAACCUGGGAAUGGCAUGGGAGACUGGUUAUCUAGAGUGCAGUAGAGGUGAGUGGAAUUUCCGGUGUAGCGGUGAAAUGCGUAGAGAUCGGAAGGAACACCCGUGGCGAAGGCGGCUCACUGGACCAUUGUUGACGCUGAGGUGCGAAAGCGUGGGGAGCAAACAGG